CGGGAGGUAGCGCAGCUCGGCUAGCGCACUUGAAUGGGGUUCAAGGGGUCGCGGGUUCAAAUCCCGCCUUCCCGA
rnacentral:tRNA from 1 species